AUUUAUGCAUUAACUUACAUUAGCAAAAUUACUAUUAAGCAACUCCAGUAAGAAGCUUAGUUUUAUUAUUAAGGCCUGAGAAAUAAUGUGCCAGCACUAGCGGUCAUACAUUAGGGUCAAAUUAAUUAAAUAAAUUCUAAUGAAUUAAAAAUAAUCUAUUUAAAUUAUUAAAGGUAAAAUUAAAGAUAAACUUAAAAUAGAAAUUAAUAAAACUAAAACUUUUGACGAAACGCUACUUAUUAAAGACUAGGAUUAGAUACCCUAUUAUGAGCGUGAGUGUAAUAAUUCAUUAAGUUACUAGCCUGUAUAAAAGCUAAAUCUAUUUACUAUGGCGGCUAUUAGUCUCUUCAGAGCCGUAUGUUGAUAAACGAAACUGCGCGAUUAUCUUACCUUUUAAAAAGUAAAAGUUCUAAUUUUAACUAAUCUGGCACGUCGCUGUAUUUAUAAAGAUUUUUAAUUACUUUACUUUUAGAUUUAAUUUAUAUUUUAUCUAUUAAAACACAAGUCAAGACGCCGUUAUUAAAAGGUUAAAAUGUAUGGUAUAAUUAAUUUAUAGAAAUUUUAAUAGAGUUGCAAAUUUAACUUAUUGAAAUAAUAAUUUGAAAGUAAAGAAAGGUUAUUAUUCUUUCUUGAAAUGAGCUACUAAUAAGUGUACAUAUCGCCCGUCAUUCCUAUAAAUGGACAAGUCGUAACAAAGUUGAUUUACUGGAAAGUGAAUCAGGUUAACUGAC
rnacentral:rRNA from 1 species